rnacentral:ncRNA from 1 species
GAGGUGCCUGCCCAUGGCAGGGUAACAGACAAGUGGGUCAAAGUCCCACACGGUCCCGCCGCUGUAGAGGAAGAGUGAUGCUUCAUAAUGUCACUGGGAAACCGGGAAGGCGAAGCAUCGUGAUGACGCCUGAGUCAGAAGACCUACCCGUUGC